rnacentral:lncRNA from 1 species
CCAAACACUCAUCAAUGUUUCCUCUUGGUGACUAGAGUUUUCAUUCUAAAGUAGUUAUAGCUCAAAAGGCACGUAAGAAGGCCAACCAAAUAUAAUGUGUUCCUUUUCCAUUAAUUUUUUGGUCUUUUUUUAUUAUUAUUUAGUUAAUUGUGGCCUAUUAUACUCUCCAUCUAUUUAACGGAGGUUCGAAUCAAAGGCCUCUUAUUUUCACUUGAAAUUUUUUAAAUUAUUUUUUAGUGUCAUAUCCUAGAUAAAUCCCAAAAUGAAGAUUUUAAAAACCCAUUCAUUAAUUUUUACAAACCCUCUCACCCAAUUUCCACUAUCACGUUCUCUUCCUAAAGCUUUCUUUUCAAACGCCUAAAUGAUUUGCUCCAUUUUCCGUUUUUAAUUUAAUUGCUUCAUAUAAGAUUUACUUAAACAAUUGUUCCACACAAGUCAUUCUUUAAACUGAUACAAUACAAUUGAUAUAUUUUUAAUCAGAAUUUAAUUCAAUACAUGUACAAUAUGGCUUAGAAUUUUCCCCUUACAAAUUACUCAUAAAUACAUUCUAGAAUUAAAGUUCACAAAUUUCUUAGAAACUUAAGAAGAAUAGUAGCUUUACUCACAAACUAGUGGGGAAAAUGUCAGCUCCACUCAUGAAUUAGAGGGAAGAAGAUAACUGACAUCCAAAUAUAUAUAGGGUCAUAAGAGCCCCUCUUUUUUAACGCAAAUUUUUACACAAAAUCUCAAUCCUUAAAUCCUAAUUAAUUCAGUGGCUGAAAUUAAUGUUAAUUUGAAUUUUCUUUUUAAUAAAAAAUUAUAAAAAUUGGACCCUAUUAGAAUUAAUAUGUUAUUUGUUCUACUUAUUUUUAUUUUUUUUAAUUCUACUUUCUUUAUUUCUCUACUUAUCUUAUCUAUUAUCUAUUUUUAUUAAAUUCUAGUUUGUGGGACUCAACUUUUAUUAAUUUUAAUUUAACAGUAAUUUCAACCAUUAUGUUAAUUAUGAUUCAAGAUUGAGAUUUUGUGUAAAAGUUUAUAUUUAAAAAUAGGGGCUAUAUGUGUGUGUGUGUGUGUGUGUGUCCUGGACAAAUGACCGGUAUGGGCCAAAUAGCUAGUUAGUAGCUACAAUUAGGGAAGAUUGAGUUCAUGGAUUUACCUAAGUAAGGCUAUGGACCAAUAAAAGAUUUUUAUCUUCGAAACCAAUUAGAAAGGGCAAUGUACGGUACCAGAAAUUAAAUCAUCCCUAAAUGAUCGAAUCCUCGAAACAAGCUAUUGCGCUUACUCCUGGUAAUUAUAUUCAAGCGCAGAAUUGGUUGAAAAUUGGUUGAAGUUGAUAAAAAAAGAAAAAGCCCUUUCGCCCUUAUCUCUGUCUAUUUUCGGCCUGACGUCAAGUCAUCAUGCCCCUUAUGCCCUGGGCGACACACGUGCUACAAUGGCCGGGACAAAGGGUCGCGAUCCCGCGAGGGUGAGCUAACUCCGGUAAAUACGCCAGGUUGGGCUUUAGCAUAGAAUGGGCCCAGGCGCUGAUUUUUUAAAUAAACAAUUUAAAUAUUUUUAAUAGUACUA